UUACCAAUUCAAACAGCUGAAGCGGCUGAACGGAAAGAUUGAGGUCAUGAACUUGAUCAACACUACACCAAGACGACACCGAUCAAUCAAGCUUGUAAAACAAUGUGAGCCUAAAAAACACCCAUUAAAAGAUUGCAGUUCUCGACAGCGCGUGGGUGGCAAGAACUCGCUUAUCGGAGGUGAAACAUUGGUAGCGGCUUAUUAGAGUUAGACGCGCCGAGUAGAAGGUCCCAGCCCAGGUCCCGUUCGCCCUGUUAGCAUUACACUGUCACUGUUUGUGAUCGGUUUGUGGCGCGUGAUAAAACUAAACAUGGAGAGCUUGUUAUGUUGGGGGGCGAAAUUAAAUUAACAUAAAUAAAUAAAUUACACUGCAUUAAUUAAGCAAACAUUAAGGCCAUUAUAAAUCACAAAGCGUGGUAAUGAACGUUAAGAUAAAGCAGUUAUCUGAAACUUUUCUAGCCAAUUUGAGGCGUUCGCGCGUAACGGCCUGUGACAGGAAGUGGAAUUCGGAAGCUUACGGUGCCUAGUGGAGUGACAAGGAAGUGGUUCUAGAUAUAAUAAAACUUAAGCUACCCUAGAACUUGGAUGAUGAUCUAUUGGGGGGUUAAACAAAGAACAGUCAAAUAGUUUUAAAAGUUACAUCAAAUAUUGUAUCAAAUUUAUUUAUAGCUUAACAUAUCAGAUACAAUUACUUUAUCAAAUGUAGUGUGGUUUUUGCCUGCUUACAUCGUGA